AUACUGACCUGGCCGAGGAGAUAUCAUGAUCAUGAAGGUGGUUUUCCCAUGACGAGGCUUAUCCACUGCGCUCUGGAUAUGCUGAUCCCUGUGAUUUCCCCAAAUGUCGGAAACUCAACUGUGUAACUUGUGGUAGUAGGGGACUGUGCUUGCAUGCUCCCCUG